UUCUUUUCUUUAACUAUACGUUUCCUGUUAAUGUCUCUCUUAGGUGCCUAAACUUUGUUUAUCUUUUUAUUCCAGUAUAGAAUUAAUUGAUUUAUGAUAACUAAUAAAUAAAAAAGUAGACAUAAAUUGUUACAUCACAUAAUGCUCAUUGGCUGUAUUGAUAAAUUAGAUUCUAGAAUCCUCAUGGGAAGUGUGUUCUAAUGUGUAAUAUAUCUAUCUUACAUGGUCUUACGGUCUGCAUAUUGUUUGUGGAUGUGGGGCUAAUUUCAAUUGAGGGAUGAGGUGAACCGUAGUCACUAAGCUUUCUUAGCCAGACUUAUGCAUCAUUUUGGUAUUUAGAGAAAAAGAAUCAUCUUUCAUUUGUUAGUUCCUGAUCACAAAUAAAAUCAAUAGAGGAGAAAUGGGUCAAAAUAUUCAAGUUCUAACCAUAGAGGGGUGUGUUAGCAAGAAGAAGGCAGCUUAGAAGAAAGCUGUUGCCGCCUCUAAAAGACGUAGUAAAGCUGCUGCCACAUCUAAAUCCGCCGCCGCUACUUCUUCCAAUGGAGUUGAUAGCCUUUUAUCUUGAUUAUUGAUUCCAUGACUCAGUGAUAUAUAUAUUAAGUUUUAUUGUUUAUACUCUGAAUCCCCUGUUUUUCUUAUGUAAAAGAUUUUGAUGGAAUUUGUUUAAGUCUGUUUGCAGAUAGAAUCGUUGUCUGUGACGUUUCAUGGUAAUGACCUUAUUGUCGAUUUGAUGUUGGAGCUUAACUAUGGAAGGCGUUAUGGUAUGCUGGGUUAAAUGGUUGUGGAAAGUCCACUCUUUUAACUGCAAUCGGACGCAGGGAGAUAUCGAUUCCGCACAUGGAUAUCUAUCUUCUUUAUCAUGAGAUUGAAGCUAUUGACAUGUUUUCCCUUGAGGAUGUUGUUAGGUGUGAUGAGGACGGGUUGAGUUUGGAGAAGGAAUUUGAACUUCUUGUCGAGCAGGCGGAGAGCAUCUUGAUUCUAAGGGCAAGAUAUGCAAAAAAAAAAAAUUAGAAACUACCAUUUAAGACCAUCUCCAAUGUAUUUCUCUAUUUUUAGCUUUAUCUCUAUAAUAGAGAUGAGUUUUCUCUAUUUUAGUCGGCUAUUUCAUACCCAACCUAUACAGUAGUGUUCAAUUCA